rnacentral:tRNA from 2 species
UGGGGGAUCGUCUAACGGUAGGACAGCGGACUCUGACUCCGUCAAUCUAGGUUCGAAUCCUAGUCCCCCAGCCA